rnacentral:rRNA from 1 species
AUGGAGACCGCCGGGAUGCUGAAGAUGGCCUUCGGUGAUGGUUUCCCCCUCCAACAGGGUGCCGAAACGGGCUCACGAUUGGUUUUUCGUGGCUACAGAAGCUUGGGGCGGCGGAACUCCCGAUCUAGGUUUCUUUUCUGGGGUUUUGGUAUUUAUAGGAUUUUUCGGCAUCGGUCUCACGUCAAGGGGGCCCAUGAGGCAACGGCAAGACAGGGGGCGCGCCCUCCACCCUUGUGGUUGCCUGGGGACUCUUCUGGACCAACUCUUGUGCUUCAGGGGUCUCUUUUGGUACAUAAAAAAUCACCGUAA